rnacentral:rRNA from 1 species
UACGGGGGGGGCAAGCGUUGUUCGGAAUCAUUGGGCGUAAAGCGCGUGUAGGCGGUCCGGUAAGUCCGCUGUGAAAGUCGGGGGCUCAACCCUCGGAUGCCGGUGGAUACUGUCGGGCUUGAGUACGGAAGAGGCGAGUGGAAUUCCUGGUGUAGCGGUGAAAUGCGCAGAUAUCAGGAGGAACACCAAUUGCGAAGGCAGCUCGCUGGGACGUUACUGACGCUGAGGAGCGAAAGCGUGGGGAGCGAACAGG